GAUGAACGCUGGCGGCGUGCCUAAUACAUGCAAGUCGAGCGAACAGACGAGGAGCUUGCUCCUCUGACGUUAGCGGCGGACGGGUGAGUAACACGUGUAUCACCUACCUAUAAGACUGGUAUAACUUCGGGAAACCGGAGCUAAUACCGGAUAAUAUAUUGAACCGCAUGGUUCAAUAGUGAAAUACGGUUUUGCUGUCACUUAUCGAUGGAUCCGCGCGGCAUUAGCUAGUUGGUAAGGUAACGGCUUACCAAGGCAACGAUGCGUAGCCGACCGGAGAGGGUGAUCGGCCACACUAGAGCUGAGACACGGUCCAGGCUCCUACGGGAGGCAGCAGUAGGGAAUCGUCCGCAAUGGGCGAAAGCCUGACGGAGCAACGCCGCGUGUGUGAUGAAGGUCUUCGGAUCGUAAAGCUCUGUUAUUAGGGAAGAACAAAUGUGUAAGUAACUAUGCACGUCGUGACGGUACCUAAUCAGAAAGCCACGGCUAACUACGUG
rnacentral:rRNA from 1 species